GCCGAGCUGAGUACCGCGCCAGCUUGUGACCCAAGUGGGGGCAUUAAAGUGAUGGGACAAAGCCUUUGACUUAACAUGGUUUGGGCUGCAGGCUGCACCUUGCUGGCUUGCCCGUCCAAGCUGUCGCCUGCCUGACCAAGCUACGAGUUGGGACUUGCGCGAAAGCACGAGCUGCUCCUCCAGACCACAACACCUGUAAGUGGGGACCCCCUUUGCAACCAUCAUCUUU
rnacentral:SRP_RNA from 1 species